rnacentral:rRNA from 1 species
AGUCACUGACGAGUUGAUCCUGGCUCAGAACGAACGCUGGCGGCAGGCCUAACACAUGCAAGUCGAGCGAGGACUUCGGUCCUAGCGGCGGACGGGUGAGUAACGCGUGGGAACGUGCCCUUUGGUACGGAAUAGCCCCGGGAAACUGGGAGUAAUACCGUAUGGUGUCUUCGGACUAAAGAUUUAUCGCCAAAGGAUCGGCCCGCGUUGGAUUAGGUAGUUGGUGGGGUAAUGGCCUACCAAGCCGACGAUCCAUAGCUGGUUUGAGAGGAUGAUCAGCCACACUGGGACUGAGACACGGCCCAGACUCCUACGGGAGGCAGCAGGUGGGGAAUCUUAGACAAUGGGGGCAACCCUGAUCUAGCCAUGCCGCGUGAGUGAUGAAGGCCCUAGGGUUGUAAAGCUCUUUCAGCUGGGAAGAUAAUGACGGUACCAGCAGAAGAAGCCCCGGCUAACUCCGUG